GGAAGUCUAUCCGGGCUUUCGCGUCACCACCCUGCCCACCUGGGUGGCGCGUGGCUUACGCAACGGUCACUGGGCUCCUGGGCCGCUCCCGGGCCAGCGAGGGCUGCGAAAGAAGUUGUAGGUGUGGCCUCCGUCUUUCACCCAGGCUGGAGUGUGGUGUCACGAUCUCAGCUCACUGCAAACUCUGCCUCCCGGGUUCAAGUGAUUCUCCUCCCUCAGCCUCCCGAGUACCUGGGACCACAGGAAUGGACGAACUGCAAGGUAGCCAAGAAGUGCGAGUACACCAAGGAAAGGCAAUAACCGAAGCCAUUCUGAAACUAAACAUGUAGAUGUGUCAGAAUCUGCAGUGCUCUUGGAAAAGAAUUCAAAAUAGCAUGUCUAGUUUCAUCCUUGAGCUUAUUCUUUGUUACUUUUUACAUUAAUUCCUUUUUAAUGGAUCCAUAAAACUGUGAAUAAAUAACACAAUAAAGCCAGCUCUACC
rnacentral:lncRNA from 10 species